rfam:Dipodomys ordii contig_7084, whole genome shotgun sequence.
GGGAAGGUGGCUCAGUGGUAGAGUGCUUGUCUUGCAUGCAUACGGCCCUGGGUUCGAUUCCUCAGCCCA